GGAACCGUUUUACCCAACACAAGGUAAGUCCUUAAGCAUUUUUGUAAGGUUGAUUAGUUUGUAUAUAAAUAAUACUAGUGAAUCAUAAAAGAAUUCCUUUUGAUGAGUAUUCUUUUGGAGUGAUUUUCCUAUUUAUUAAUGUGACCAUAUGUGCUAUUUGAAUUAAGUAAAUUGCCUCAUCAUAAUGAGUUAACAUACGGCACUAUGUGUGCGGAAUUAAGUGGCACUAUAUGUGCCGAUUUGGAUGUUGAAGCAUGAGAGAAAAUUCAAUGCACUGAGUGUGCGG
rnacentral:lncRNA from 1 species